UACGGAGGAUCCAAGCGUUAUCCGGAUUCAUUGGGUUUAAAGGGUGCGUAGGCGGAAUUGUAAGUCAGUGGUGAAAUCUCUUCGCUUAACGAAGAAACUGCCAUUGAUACUGCAAAUCUUGAGUACAUUUGAUGUGGGCGGAAUGUGUCAUGUAGCGGUGAAAUGCUUAGAUAUGACACAGAACACCGAUUGCGAAGGCAGCUCGCAAAACUGUAACUGACGCUGAGGCACGAAAGCGUGGGGAGCAAACAGG
rnacentral:rRNA from 1 species